rnacentral:misc_RNA from 1 species
GACCCUUCGUCACGCUAAGGCUCUCUCAAAAACCUUGGAACACUCUAGAACCUAAACCCUUUCUUUUCACACUAUCUGCACACCAUUUAAGCCUCCAUCUUCUUCAUCUCCAACACGCCAUUAUUUGCUUUCAGUGAGUUCGAUUAUAUCAAUCAAUCAAUCUUCUGCCUGUGUGUUCACAUAUUGUGUUUGACGGAAAAAUGGACGAUGAUUUUGGUAUUCCACCGGUCGAGGGAAUGGACGAGGACAUGGAUCUGCCGGAGGACAGUUCGACCAUGAAAGUAGGCGAGGAGAAGGAAAUUGGAAAUCAGGGAUUGAAGAAGAAGCUUGUUAAGGAAGGUGAAGGUUGGGAAACUCCUGAGCCUGGUGAUGAAGUCGAAGUUCAUUAUACUGGAACUCUGCUCGACGGAACCAAGUUUGAUUCCAGCCGCGAUAGAGGGGACCCCUUCAAGUUUACUCUCGGUCAAGGACAAGUAAUUAAAGGAUGGGAUCAAGGUAUAAAGACAAUGAAGAAAGGUGAAAAUGCUAUUUUCACCAUUCCUCCUGAGCUGGCUUACGGAGAGAGUGGUUCUCCUCCAACUAUCCCUCCAAAUGCCACUCUACAAUUUGAUGUGGAGUUGCUAUCAUGGGUGAGUGUAAAAGACAUUUGCAAGGAUGGUGGUAUUUUCAAAAAGAUCCUCACAGAGGGGGAAAAAUGGGAAAAUCCAAAAGAUCUUGACGAAGUAUUAGUCAAGUAUGAAGCUCAGCUCGAAAAUGGCACAGUGGUGGGAAAAUCAGAUGGAGUGGAGUUCACUGUUCAAGAUGGUCAUUUUUGUCCUGCUCUUGCUAAGGCUGUGAAAACUAUGAAGAAAGGUGAAAAGGUCCAAUUGACAGUGAAGCCACAAUAUGGCUUCGGAGAGAAAGGAAAACCAGCCUCGAGUGAUGGAGGAGCAGUUCCUCCUAAUGCCACAUUACAGAUCAACUUGGAGUUGGUCUCCUGGAAAACUGUUUCAAAUGUUACUGAUGACAAGAAAGUAGUAAAGAAGAUCUUGAAAGAAGGGGAAGGAUAUGAGAGACCCAAUGAAGGAGCUGUUGUUAAAUUAAAACUGGUUGGCAAGCUGCUAGAUGGCACAGUCUUCACAAAGAAGGGCCAUGAUGGGGAAAGUGAAGAUAAUCUUUUUGAGUUUAAGACAGAUGAGGAACAAGUAAUUGAUGGGCUGGACAGAGCUGUCAUGACAAUGAAGAAGGGUGAAGCGGCGCUGCUUACAAUUGCACCUGAAUAUGCCUUUGGUUCAUCUGAGUCGAAGCAAGAUUCAGCUGUUGUUCCUCCUAAUUCAACUGUGCAUUAUGAGGUUGAGCUUGUUUCUUUUCUCAAGGACAAGGAAUCGUGGGAUAUGAGUACCCCGGAGAAAAUUGAGGCUGCUGGCAAAAAGAAAGAAGAAGGGAAUGCACUGUUCAAGGCUGGUAAAUACGCAAGGGCAUCUAAGAGAUAUGAGAAGGCUGCUAAAUUCAUUGAGUAUGAUACUAACUUCAGUGAGGAGGAAAAGAAACAGUCUAAAGCAUUGAAGAUCACCUGCAACUUAAAUAAUGCAGCUUGCAAGUUGAAAUUGAAAGAUUACAAGCAGGCUGAGAAACUGUGUACCAAGGUGUUGGAACUGGAUAGUGCAAAUGUCAAAGCUCUUUACCGCAGAGCUCAAGCAUAUAUGAACAUGGCUGAUCUUGAUCUGGCUGAAUUUGACAUUAAGAAAGCUCUUGAGAUUGAUCCUGACAACAGGGAUGUGAAGCUUGAGUACAAAGCUCUAAAGGAGAAAGUCAAGGAAAUUAACAAGAAGGACGCAAAGUUCUACGGGAACAUGUUUGCAAAGUUGAAUAAGCAGGAUUCAUCAAACUCAGCCAACUCUGCUCCCAAGGAACCAGAGCCGAUGAGCAUUGAUAGCAAGGCAUAACUUUAACUCAGACAUGACAUAAAAAGGAUCAGCAUCAUCAUUAUCUUGACGGUUCAUAUAUGCCAUGGAGUCGUUAUAGUUGGAUUUUAGGAAAGAGUGUUUGCUGAAUAAUUUUACUGUAAUUUCUGAUUCUGCAUUGGGUACUAUCAAUGGAUCCCUCUUGUAAUGGAGUAUCAUCUGGCAUCUUUGCUGUGACAUAUUUUGGUUAUUGUGUUCUGUCAUUUUGUUGAGUGGAAUUAAUUGAAUGUCGUUCGAAAUUGAUGUAAGCCAAAAUCAGUAGUGAAGACCUUACAAUAAUAGUAGUAAAAUU